rnacentral:tRNA from 1 species
GGGAGCAUGGCAGAGCGGUCUAUUGCACCAGAUUUAGGCUCUGGCGUCCGAGACAACACCUCGGGCCGCAGGUUCGAAUCCUGCUGCUCCCGCCA